rnacentral:rRNA from 1 species
GACGAACGCUGGCGGCGUGCUUAACACAUGCAAGUCGAACGGAAAGGCCCUGCUUUUGUGGGGUGCUCGAGUGGCGAAAGGGUGAGUAACAAGUGAGUAACCUGCCCUUGACUUUGGGAUAACUUCAGGAAACUGGGGCUAAUACCGGAUAGGAGCUCCUGCUGCAUGGUGGGGGUUGGAAAGUUUGGACGGUUGGGGAUGGACUCGCGGCUUGUCAGCUUGUUGGUGGGGUAGUGGCUUACCAAGGCUUUGACGGGUAGCUGGCAUGAGAGGGUGACCUGCCACAUUAGGACUGAGAUACGGCCCAGACUCCUACGGGAGGCAGCAGUGGGGAAUAUUGCACAAUGGGCGGAAGCCUGAUGCAGCAACGCCGCGUGCGGGAUGACGGCCUGCGGUUUGUAGACCGCUUUCGCCUGUGACGAAGCGUGAGUGACAGUAAUGUGUAAAGAAGCACCGGCUAAGUACGUG